rnacentral:lncRNA from 1 species
AAAGUAACCACAAACAAUUUGAAAUAAUAAAGUAUUGGAGAUAAUAAUGGGAAAAAAUCUAGGGUCAAGUCACUACAACAAUCCUACUUAACCAUACAAUCUCAUUAGUUUAGAUAAUUACCUUGGUUGUUGAUUUACGGGGUAGAUAAGAUGAUUAUGUUUUUUUGAGCCUCUAAUUAUGUAUCAAACAUAGCCCCACA